UCCAUUGCCUGUGCAAUUAGGACAAUGUGGUGUUAAAGCUUGUACCUGGAACUGCGAACCUACCCGAAGUCCAACUCCGAUUGUGGCUUUGGAUUUUGCCCUAAGCGGGUGUUAGGCCCGUACGGGUAGGUUCUUGCUUGUUAGCAGUUCUCAGAUGUACUUGCUUUCGAGUCGGAUUGCUUGAGAAUGCAGUCCAAAGCGGGUGGUAAACUCCAUCCAAGGCUAAAUACUGGCACGAGUCCGAUAGUAGACAAGUACCGUGAGGGAAAGUUGAAAAGUACUCUGAAGAGAGAGUAAAUAGUACGUGAAGCCGGUUGCAGAGAAGCUGGUGGAGUCAAGCUUCAUGCUUGGAGAAUUGGUGGCUGUGGCCUUGUUGUGAUUAAUAAAACCUGGUUAAUCAACUUGGAAAGAGUUGAGCGCAUUCGUGUGCUUCAAGUCAGACUGGGGGGUUGUUUGAUUGUAUUUGCUGGGUCAUUUAGUCAUAGUCGCUCUAUUCUCCGCUGCAUAAACCAUGGUCGGUAGUAUUUGCCAUGUGCUGUGCGGUUGCCUAACUGUGCUUUGGUAGGCUUCAUGCUUGCUGGGUGCAGGAUGGCAGGUGGUGAUCCAAGGCCUCGUGCUUUGGGUCUCUUAUAGUGGUUUUGACCAGCUGGUGAUCGCACAGUAUCAUUACUACCGUUGUUAGCUAUUGCCCAGUCUACGGACUUGCAAUAGUGAGAACCAUGGUUCUGAGGUAGACCUUCCACCCGAC
rnacentral:rRNA from 1 species